UCUUAAAGAAAGCUGGAUCUAAUUAUGAUAAAGUCGUUAAAACAACAAUUUUCUUACAAGAUAUUAAUGAGUUUAGUGAUGUAAAUGAAGUCUACAAAGAAUUUUUUAAGGAGAACUAUCCAGCUAGAUCUACAUUCCAAGUUGAAAAGUUACCAAUGG